CUUGGUGAACAUAGCGACAGAGGUACACCCAGAUACAUUUCGAACCUGGUAGUUAAGCCUGUUUGCGCCGACAAUACUUAGAUUUACUUCUAGGGAAUAUAGGUCUUCGCCAAGC
rfam:Sebaldella termitidis ATCC 33386, complete genome.